AACGAACGCUGGCGGCAUGCCUAACACAUGCAAGUCGAACGAGACCUUCGGGUCUAGUGGCGCACGGGUGCGUAACGCGUUGGAACCUGCCCUUAGGUUCGGUAUAACUCCCCGAAAGGGGUGCUAAUACCGGAUAAUGUCUUCGGUCCAAAGAUUUAUCGCCUUUGGAUGGGCCCGCGUUGGAUUAGCUAGUUGGUAGGGUAAAAGCCUACCAAGGCGACGAUCCAUAGCUGGUCUGAGAGGAUGAUCAGCCACACUGGGACUGAGACACGGCCCAGACUACUACGGGAGGCAGCAGUGGGGAAUAGAGGAAAAGGGGCGAAAGCCUGAACAAGCAAUGACGCGAGAGAGAUGAAGGCAUUAGGGUUGUAAAGCUCAUUUACACGGGAUGAGAAUGACAGUAACGGGAGAAUAAGCUCCGGCUAACUACGUG
rnacentral:rRNA from 1 species